UCCCUGGUGGCUCAGAUGGUAAAAGCAUUUGUCUACAAUGCAUUAGACCCAGGUUUGAUCCCUGGUUCAGGAA
rnacentral:tRNA from 1 species